GGUCUAGGCCGAGCACCCCAUAGGAGUGUCUUUGGGCAAAAUACCAUCAAGUCUACGCCAGGCACCCCACAUGAAUAUCUUUGGGAACACAACCAUCAGGUCUCUUAAAAAUCUUCCCAGCGGGAGGGGGGAAGUUUCCCCUCCCACUUGGCCGCUCCGGGACGGUCUCCGUUGGUGCUAUGGCCAUUUACACCAACGUUGUUUUCGGGAGGGGGGAGCCGGGGUCCCCUCCAUACGAAUGGAUCACUUCUCCUUCACGGUCAACGUCGACGUGUCUGACCCUAUUCACGCCAACGUUUUUCCCAAACGCCAAAGAGCCCGAGGACUCCUCAGCGACCCUAGCAGCGCCAAGCACCGGCGUCAUCCGAGGACACCAGAGUUGGCAGCCCCGCCAGGGGGGAGGGAAGAUUUCAAGUUCUCAUCAGGUCUAUUCCAAGCACCCCGCAGAAUGUCCAAGCACGAACCAUCAGGUCUAGGCCGAGCACCCCAUAGGAGUGUCUUUGGGCAAAAUACCAUCAAGUCUACGCCAGGCACCCCACAUGAAUAUCUUUGGGAACACAACCAUCAGGUCUCUUAAAAAUCUUCCCAGCGGGAGGGGGGAAGUUUCCCCUCCCACUUGGCCGCUCCGGGACGGUCUCCGUUGGUGCUAUGGCCAUUUACACCAACGUUGUUUUCGGGAGGGGGGAGCCGGGGUCCCCUCCAUACGAAUGGAUCACUUCUCCUUCACGGUCAACGU
rnacentral:lncRNA from 1 species